CUCAGGAUGUAUCCACUCCUUCGGGCAGCUUAAGCAUUCUUUCGUGGUCCAUUUCAGCACCAGUUGGAAGCCGUCACGAAUCUCGGACAGUCUUUUCUCCCUCAAACAGGGAGAAAAUGAGACACUCCGAUACUUUAUGGCUCGAUUCAACACGGCCACACUUGAGGUCCCGAUUCUUAUACUCCUUGGACAAGAUUCUCCCCCAGAC
rnacentral:lncRNA from 1 species